UUUUCUGUUGUGAUCUACUCACUAUCUGUGUAUCUAUAUCCGUGUGCCUCUCCCUCGUGUCCCCCACUCUCUCUAUCUCCGUCUCUGUGUCUGUCUACAGCCAGGAAAUACGGACAACGAAAAGACGGAGCUGUGCAAGAGAUAGAGAUGAUGGAAACAGAUCCCAAUAGCGUGAAGUCUUAGCGGACGACAGAAAGAGGGAAGCAGCCAAACAGCGUGAGGGAGGCGGCCGUGUGUGUGUGUGUGUGUGUGUGAGCGGAGGGCCUGUCUACAUAGUCUGCCGUGUCCUGUCAAGCGACCCAUGGAGUCCAGCCAGACAGUGCGUGUGUGAGUGCGCGAGUGUGUGAGUGCAAUGAUGAUGACCAGAACGAGUGUGGAAUCUGGAGCCGCUGUGGACAAAGAGAGGGAGAGAGAGAGACAGCGGAGAGGAGAGGGACCGUCCGUUAACCCAUCCUUCCUUCCCUGUCUCCAGCUGUCAGAACCAGCCACACUUCAUCAAGUCCCCAUAACCUGCAGUAAGGCCAGGGGCAGCUUGUCUCUAAAGUCUUCUCACUCCAGCGAAUGGUCCUUUCUCCAAACAGCACAGCAGAUCUCAAUGUUCUGAGGACAAGGUUUUCUGUUCUUCAUGCAGGAUGGGACGAUCAGACAGGACCUGAUACGGUACACUCUGGCCCUGGCAAAUGUCCCACCAGUUGAGUCGAUGACCAGAUGAACACUGGCCAGGUGUUGGGAGUAGAGACCUGGACAAGUCCCACAAUGAACAUCGACCUUAAGGGACGACAUAGUUUGAGAUGAUGACCAGAUAUAUGGUGGUCAGGUGUGUGUUGGAGUCUAGAAGAGGUCAAUACCCUGGAAGGACAAUGACCUCUUGGGGCAAAUAUCCUAACGGUUGAGUGAAUGAUGUGAGAGGUCGAGGUGGCAGGUGUUUGUCAUAUCAACUAAAGACUAAGGCGUUUGGCAGGACAAAUAUGAAGUGAUGUGUCGGUGGAGUUUUUCCCUGUCUCAAUUUCCCUACUGUACUCCUCGCAUCGGCCGCUUGGCCACUGGAUCAAAGCAAUAAUCAAGAGAGACACUCGGAGAGGGAGAGGCUGAGGAAUAAACACACACAUCAUACACAAUCACUUUCACUGAAAUAAUAACUCUCGGGGACUGGGGAUGAGAUAUUGGUUGGCUUACUAUAGAAUUAUGUUGCUUGGAGUCUUGACUCGAGCCGAUACUGUGAAAUCCAUAAUUGUUUGUGUUCACGCUGAGAAGUACGUGCAUGCUCUUCAAACUUUGUCAAAAGUGAGAGAAGUUCUGGUCUGGCGACUCAUCUGUAUUGUUCCUGACCCUACAAAGUUUUUGUAAGAGUAAGAGGAGUUACUGUCGCACGUUGUGUCCUUGGAGGAAAAGCGCUUCACUUGAAUUUCAUAUUUGCGUCAGUCGUUUUGGAGAUGGACGUUAAACUCUGAGGUCCCGCCUCUUAAAUGACACUAAUAGUGUUGAUAGAGGUGAUAAACGUAUACUAUUUCACAAAAGUUACAGUGACUGACUCUGCAAAGGCUUUUUGACGAAAGUGACUGUUUACCAGAGAAUAUGGUUAGUCGGUUGGUACCCAGAAUUGUCUUGGAGCAGUUAACGUUAUUCCCUACCCACUAGAGAAAGCAACAUAUCAUAAUCAUCAUAUGUGUCGUGUACGUGUAUUUGUUGAGCGAGAGCUUUUCCUAAUUAUCCAUGUCCUCACACAAGUGAAAUCCCCCAUUGAAGGUGCCGGAAAAAGAAAAGAUCUAAGUCUCUUUUGACUGAAAAUAGUCUUUCAUAUGAUUACCCACAUCAAUGGCUAAAAAUAGAAGAGUUAAAGUUGGGGAGACCACAUGACAUAACAUUUAGAUGAAUUGACUGGAUGACUUUGAAUUAGAGUUGUGGCUCUUACAAACUGCUUAAACUUGGUAGUACUGGUAUAUCAUGCUGAAGUUCGGCUGCUUUUUCGAAAAGAUCUCAAGUUGACUUCUGUUGGACCCUUUUUAUUUCUCGGACUCUUUCAGAAUUUCAGGUCAGUCGACCAGAUUAGAUCUAAGUGAGAGUAGUAAAUUGGGGACAGAGGUGCCCUGAUCUCUCCUAACCGGUGUAGAGAUGGGGGAGUGGUAUUUGGCUGGGUUCUCUUUUCUCACCGUUUGGAGAGAAAGCCAAACAUUGCUACUCACGAUUGGGCAUGAAGACAUGGUAACAUGAGAUCAGGUGUUUAGGACAGAAGGCAUGAUGUAACGUACACAUAUGGUCGGGUAUCCAGGGAAGAUAUGACGUACAAAUACUAUACAAGUUUCUGGAACUGUUUUGCUUGCAUAUGUGUGUAUGCAUGUGUGUAUGUGUGUGUGUAGGGCUGUAUAUGAACAAACACACACAAAUGACUUUGGGUUUUUUUAAACCCCCAAUAAAUCCAUGAGCAGAAGGAGAAUUUCGGCAUCAACUACUUAGCACCGGACUGCCCAAAGAUCACAUAAAAUUGUGAAUUGUUGGUGAUUUCUUGGAGCAAAUGAAACAAAAAGUGUGUUGGACGAAGGCUUAUAGUUUUCUGUGAAUUCAGCGUCUGAAUAUCCGAGAGACAAGACUCAAACUCGAUGUCUUUAGCAUAACAUUCUAGAAAGAAAUGACAGGUGUUUGGUGUUAUGUUGUCACAGGAGUCGCAUGCCAGGAGCAUAAUAUGCAAUAAUUGAAAGGCGUGAUCCUGUGUGUGCCACAGAUGUACCCGUGGGACUGGUCGGUUGCUUGGUGCGCACCAAGAAGGAGAGAAUUCGGUGUGGUUUGACCUGCAGAAUGGAUGUGGGAUGUGUGUUUGGGUUUGCUGACCAGUGCAAGAACUGUAGCACAACCGUUACAGGCAGUGAAUGGUCAACCUUUUCAUCAAGGGUGGACACAAUUUUGUGUCUGGCCCCACAUCGGUGCUCACCGCGACAAGACACUGCCGCAGCGGCUCAUCGUGAAAAGACUGUCGCAGCAGUAGCUGGCCGUGUCAAGACACUGACGCAUUCACGUGAGCAGCAGGAAAAGUUUUGGCAGAGGAGAAGAAGAAGAGGAGAAACUGGAGUGAGGAACAAGAAUGGAGAAGGCUCCUGGACUUCUUUCAAAAGUUGCAAUAUUUUUUAUCCGAUGUGAUAACCAGUUAUGAAUGCCGUCGUUUCUUUAAAAAAAAAUAAUACGAGAAUUGCACCUGAGGGAAGGAAUGUUAUCAUAUUGAUAAUUGAUGUUCUAAUUUUAGAUAACGAUUUUGUACUGGGAGUCGCUUUUUGUGCAUGCUUUUGUUUUUUUCUUCUUUUUUUUUUUUUACCCUCAGUGAUGAGAUGUGGUCUCUUUCCAUCACGGAAAUGUACAUCAUUCAAUGUUGUUGCUAGAUUUUUUUAUUUUGUCUCAGGUUUUUUGUUUGUUUCUCAAAAGAUGAAGAGCAAUAUUUGUGCCACGGUGCGGUGGAAUCAGGCACUCGUCAAGUUUGGGGCCCGUAGAGUUAUUGGUAUCAUCUUAAAGCCUGUUCAUUUGUCUUAUUUUUGAUGAAAAGCAUAUCCAUUUAUUUUGAUAUUGGUGAUUGAAGGAGGUGGGGGUUGGCUGGUUUCAGAGGUAAAAUAAGAGAGAAAAUGGUCGGCAAAGUUGAGUUAGUUUCUUAGCUUGAGAGUCCAGGGAAAUAAAAAA